GAUCCUGGCUCAGAUUGAACGCUGGCGGCAGGCUUAACACAUGCAAGUCGAACGGUAACAUGAAGAAGCUUGCUUCUUUGAUGACGAGUGGCGGACGGGUGAGUAAUGCUUGGGAAUCUAGCUUAUGGAGGGGGAUAACUACGGGAAACUGUAGCUAAUACCGCGUAGUAUCGAGAGAUGAAAGUGUGGGACCUUCGGGCCACAUGCCAUAGGAUGAGCCUAAGUGGGAUUAGGUAGUUGG
rnacentral:rRNA from 1 species